rnacentral:ncRNA from 1 species
ACAAAAAUAAUGAUUAGAAGAGUAGUUAUCGACCGCUCACAAAGAGAGUUCCCGCCGCUGGAAAGGGGAUUGACGUGGAUAACGAAACACAUCUAUGAAUUAAUAGACUGAAAGAGCAGCUGUUCGAUUAAGUUUAUUCGAUCGGGUCGUUAUCCCGUUGAUUUAUUCAACAUGAGGUUUAUUUCGCGAGAAAUAAACGAAUUGAGGUGGAACCACGGUUAUUCGUCCUCUUA